rnacentral:rRNA from 1 species
AUUGAACGCUGGCGGCAUGCUUAACACGUGCAAGUCGAACGGUAACGCGGGGGCAACCCUGGCGACGAGUGGCGGACGGGUGAGUAAUGCUUGGGAAUCUACCCAGUAGCGGGGGAUAACCUAGGGAAACUUAGGCUAAUACCGCAUACGACCUACGGGUGAAAGCGGGGGCUCACUCAUAAAACAUCUUCACGGUGAACCUGACCGGUGAGGGUGCUUUAUGAGUGACCUCGCACUAUUGGAUGAGCCCAAGUCGGAUUAGCUAGUUGGUAGGGUAACGGCCUACCAAGGCGACGAUCCGUAGCUGGUCUGAGAGGACGAUCAGCCACACUGGGACUGAGACACGGCCCAGACUCCUACGGGAGGCAGCAGUGGGGAAUAUUGGACAAUGGGGCAACCCUGAUCCAGCAAUGCCGCGUGUGUGAAGAAGGCCUGC